CUCCCUACGAAGGGAGGCAGUUUCUGUCCUGUUUCCUUCCAUUGAUAAACUGUGUUCAGUACUCUACGCUGCACAUGGGAUUUUACCAUGGGUUCAGUGCAUCAUGACGCUUGGGAAGGUUGGAGGUCAAUGUAUCCUGGUCACUAGAUUCCAGUUAUGCACUUUCCACAGAAGACCCACAGAAGUGACCCCGCGUAUAUCCUGUCUAGCUGCCCUCCACCGCCCCAUGUCUUCUGGCAGAGAGAGCACAAGGAGGGUGAUCAGCAGAGGGAGAGAAGAAGGCUCCCAUCCGAGCAGGGAGCCCAAGUGUGGGGUGGCUGGAUCCCAGGACUCUGGGAUCAUGACCUGAGCCGAAGGCAGACCAGCAACUGACCCACCCCUAAUAAAUUUAUUUCUUAUAAUUGGUUUUAUAAAUGGUCCUGAGGUCGGUGGUAUUUUUCACAGGGUAUGUCAGAGUACGUCAGGGUACGACAGAAUACAUCGGGCUACGUCGGGGUACGUCAGAG